AGGAUACCGAUAUGGUACGGCCAGUGCUUUUCCAAGAACUGAUUCCGACCAGCUCACCAAGCUGGUUUCUGAGGAACCGGUGCCGAGUCGCCUCAGCUUCAGAAUGGCAUCCACACAGCUCCUCUCACCACGCUUCAGAAUAGCAUCCACACGGCUCCUCUCAUCACUUAUCUGUUGGAGGAGAAUCAUGUCCAACUUGCUUUGCUUCUUCUACUUUUGACGGCCACAUCAUAAUCGUCGACCUGGACCUGGCCUAGCUUAUCAAAUAUAUGCGGCGCGGUGAGGCCACGAUCCGAUGAAGGUGCAAUCUUUGCUUUUCCUUCAACAUUCUCACCCAGCAAAAGUUGAGAGGAAGAGAUGCCGCGUCACAGUUGGUUCCUGUAUGAUGUUGCGGGAAUCUGCUGCAACUACAGCACAACCCUCCUCCCGCGACCCUUGCCUGCCGCCGCCACCCUCCUCCCAAUUUCUCUCUCUCUCUCUCUCCUCGCCGCUCCCGGAGGCUGCUGCUAGACAAGGCCACGGUGCCCAUGAUGGGGCGGCGUGGAUCUGAUCCCCAGUGGUCUCAUAGGCCACCGAUGGUGUAUCCUCCCUAGGGAGUUUGGUGGUGGUCAUUGGACCAACGAGCACGAUGGCCAGGGCGGAGUUCCCUGUUCAGGCGGCGGCGGCAGCGGUCCCCUCCAUGGCCGGAGGGUCAGCGGGGAUCGGUCUCCGGCGUGCUCUCAGGCGAUGGUUGCUGGUGGCGAUCGUGGAUCUGAUGCCAGUUCAGAUCCAUCGCGGUGUGGCCCUUGGCCGGCCGGCGGCACAUAGAAGGGUCGGUGAGGGGCGGCUGCAGGUCAUCCUCGACUGGCGUUCCGGCGGCUGCGUGCGUCUUCGGUUUGGAGGAUUUUUGUAGGAAAAACACGGGGACAAGAAUUUCGGAGGAAAUUUUUUUAUAUAUGUAUUUAGUUUGUAGGAAAUGCGUACAGAAAUUUUAUAGAAAUACUAUUAUUUUUCUGUGUUUUU